rnacentral:rRNA from 1 species
AUGAGUACACUUUAAAUCCUUUAACAAGGAUCCAUUGGAGGGCAAGUCUGGUGCCAGCAGCCGCGGUAAUUCCAGCUCCAAUAGCGUAUAUUAAAGUUGUUGCGGUUAAAAAGCUCGUAGUUGGUUCUGCGUGCCACGCUGUCGGUUCGCCGCCUGUCGGUGUAACUGGCAUGUCGUGGCAUGUCCUGUCGGUGGUGAACGGGGAUCCUGGUGUAAGCUAGGCUUAAUUGCCGAAGUUUGCUCCGUGGUAUUUCCGUUUGCCGAUUUCUCCUACUUCGGUGCUCUUAAACGAGUGUCGAGGUAGGCCGACACGUUCACUUUGAACAAAUUAGAGUGCUUAAAGCAGGCUGAAAUAUCUGCCUGAAUAGUGGUGCAUGGAAUGAUAAAAUAGGACCUCAGUUCUAUUUUAUUGGUUUUAGGAAUAUGAGGUAAUGAUCAAUGUGGACUGGCGGGGGCAUUCGUAUUGCGACGUUAGAGGUGAAAUUCUUGGAUCGUCGCAAGACGCACUAGAGCGAAAGCAUUUGCCAAGUAUGUCUUAAUUGAUCAAGAACGAAAGUUAGAGGUUCGAAGGCGAUCAGAUACCGCCCUAGUUCUAACCAUAAACGAUGCCAGCCAGCGAUCCGCCGAUGUUCCUUUAAUGACUCGGCGGGGAGCUUCUAUCCGGGAAACCAAAGCUUUUGGGUUCCGGGGGAAGUAUGGUUGCAAAGCUGAAACU